UACGGAGGAUGCAAGCGUUAUCCGGAAUGAUUGGGCGUAAAGCGUCCGCAGGUGGCAAUGUAAGUCUGCUGUCAAAGCGUCUAGCUCAACCAGAUAAAGGCAGUGGAAACUACAUAGCUAGAGUAAGGUAGGGGUAGAGGGAAUUCCUGGUGUAGCGGUGAAAUGCGUAGAGAUCAGGAAGAACACCAGUGGCGAAGGCGCUCUACUGGGCCGUAACUGACACUGAGGGACGAAAGCUAGGGGAGCGAAAGGG
rnacentral:rRNA from 1 species